rnacentral:rRNA from 1 species
GACGAACGCUGGCGGCGUGCUUAACACAUGCAAGUCGAACGGAGUGGCGAACGGGUGAGUAACACGUGGGUGAUCUGCCGUGCAAUUCGGGAUAAGCUUGGGAAACUGGGUCUACUACCGGAUAGUGCAAGAUGAGCUCGCUGUCUAUACGUGUGUUGGUGGGGUAAUGGCCUACCAAGGCGUCGACGGGUAGCCGGCCGGAGAGGGUGGACGGCCACAUUGGGACUGAGAUACUGCCCAGACUCCUACGGGAGGCAGCAGUGGGGAAUAUUGCACAAUGGGCGGAAGCCUGAUGCAGCGACGCCGCGUGGGGGAUGAAGGCCUUCGGGUUGUAAACUCCUUUCGACAGGGACGCGGUACCUGUAUAAGAAGCACCGGCUAACUACGUGCCAGCAGCCGCGGUAAUUC